rnacentral:rRNA from 2 species
GGGGCGUCCUUCUACAUGCAAGUCGAAGCGAACUGAUUAGAAAGCUUGCUUCUAUGACGUUAGCGGCGGACGGGUGAGUAACACGUGGGCAACCUGCCUGUAAGACUGGGAUAACUUCGGGAAACCGAAGCUAAUACCGGAUAGGAUCUUCUCCUUCAUGGGAGAUGAUUGAAAGAUGGUUUCGGCUAUCACUUACAGAUGGGCCCGCGGUGCAUUAGCUAGUUGGUGAGGUAACGGCUCACCAAGGCAACGAUGCAUAGCCGACCUGAGAGGGUGAUCGGCCACACUGGGACUGAGACACGGCCCAGACUCCUACGGGAGGCAGCAGUAGGGAAUCUUCCGCAAUGGACGAAAGUCUGACGGAGCAACGCCGCGUGAGUGAUGAAGGCUUUCGGGUCGUAAAACUCUGUUGUUAGGGAAGAACAAGUACGAGAGUAACUGCUCGUACCUUGACGGUACCUAACCAGAAAGCCACGGCUAACUACGUGCCAGCAGCCGCGGUAAUACGUAGGUGGCAAGCGUUAUCCGGAAUUAUUGGGCGUAAAGCGCGCGCAGGCGGUUUCUUAAGUCUGAUGUGAAAGCCCACGGCUCAACCGUGGAGGGUCAUUGGAAACUGGGGAACUUGAGUGCAGAAGAGAAAAGCGGAAUUCCACGUGUAGCGGUGAAAUGCGUAGAGAUGUGGAGGAACACCAGUGGCGAAGGCGGCUUUUUGGUCUGUAACUGACGCUGAGGCGCGAAAGC